AUGGUUGAAGAAUCCAGUGGGGAGAUUGUUAUAACACAGAUACCAGCUUCUGUGACAGUGAGUCCAGGAGAGACAGUCACCAUCCAGUGCACGGCUUCCAGCUCCAUGAGCAAUGAUAUGCAAUUACACGUGUUCAAGCAAGGACAAACUCCCAAGCUCCUCAUUUAUGAUGGAAACAGCCGCUUCACUGGGGUCCCCACCCGGUUCAGUGGCAGUUACAGUGGCACCGACUUCACCUUCACCAUCCGCGGGGUGCAGGUGGAAGAUGCUGGUGACUACUACUGUCAGCAGGACAACAGCACCCCUCUCACAGUGAUACACUGCAGUACAAAAACCUCCUCAGUGCUGCAACCAGAGCAUGAAGCAGAAAGUAGCAGGGGAGGCUGUUUCUGA